rnacentral:rRNA from 1 species
GGUGAUGCAGCAAGCUCCGUGGAGUGUUACAUCCAUGAGCAUGGAGUCACAGACAAGGUGGCCAUUGCAAGGAUCGAUGAACUAAUAGAAGAGGAAUGGAAGAUUUUGAACAAAGCUCGCUUUGAAAAUCAUGCGCUUCUCCCAGCCUUGCAACCAAUUAUUGAUUUAGCACGCAGCUCGUCAUUGUUCUAUGAUAAUAGGAACGACGUGUACACAACAAGUACACAUCUUCAGGAGACUGUCGAGAGCCUAUUCCUCAAGCCCAUCUAG